rnacentral:rRNA from 1 species
AGUGAACGCUGGCGGCGUGCUUAACACAUGCAAGUCGAACGAGAACGGGUUAUAGCUUGCUAUAAUUGUCAGCUAAGUGGCGCACGGGUGCGUAAUGUAUAGGUAAUAUGCCUCUUACUAAGGGAUAACAAAUGGAAACGUUUGCUAAUACCUUAUACUCUUUAUUAACAUAAGUUAAUAAGGGAAAGAUUUAUUGGUAAGAGAUUAGCCUGUAUUGUAUCAGUUAGUUGGUGGGGUAAUGGCUUACCAAGACUAUGACACAUAACUGGUUGGAGAGGAUGAUCAGUCACACUGGAACUGAGACACGGUCCAGACGCCUACGGGAGGCAGCAGUGGGGAAUAUUGCACAAUGGACGAAAGUCUGAUGCAGCAACGCCGCGUGGAGGAUGACACAUUUCGGUGCGUAAACUCCUUUUAUAUGAGAAGAUAAUGACGGUAUUAUAUGAAUAAGCACCGGCUAACUCCGUGCCAGCAGCCGCCGUAA